rnacentral:rRNA from 1 species
GCUUCGUUCCAGUCCAAUCUUGAAUAUGGCUUUAGCAUGGCCCAGAGAGGGUGGUAAACUCCAUCUAAGGCUAAAUACUGGCACGAGUCCGAUAGCGAACAAGUACCGUGAGGGAAAGUUGAAAAGUACUCUGAAGAGAGAGUUAACAGUGCGUGAAACCGCUUAGAGGCAAACGGGUGUAGUCAAGCUGCAAGCCCAUUGAAAUAGGGGGGCCAGAAUGGCGUGAGUCUGAGCACAAACGGGCUGUCGUUGGGGUGCGUCCACACGGGCGUGUUCGGGUAGCAAUACCUGGAUCUGUGAAGUGGCAUCCGCCGCUGCAGGCCUCGGCGUCAGUUGCUCUGCUGGCCCUCUCACUUUCUUUGUGGCGUAUGUCACGACCGUCGUUGCUGUCGGUCUGCUCCGUCUGAACCGUGUCGCGAGUAGUCUUGUGCUUCUUGUGGCAUGGGGGCAGGUAGCUGGGCGUCUUUGCUUGCAUUGGCGUGCAGUGUUAUCGCUGGGCGGAGUGGUACCUGUAACUGUGCAGUGCGGCGGGGCUGGCGGUGCAUUGGUUUCUAGGCGUGCUAAAACAUGCUGGCUUAGCGUUAGUCUGGUUGCCUGUUGCUGUCUCUGACGGCCUGGUGAUGGCUAUGCUUUGGUUUGGCGUGUGGCUGCGUCUGGGCAUUCUUUGCGUUGUGCCAAUAGUCUGUGGCGUAGUGGUAGACGAUCCACCCGACCCGUCUUGAAACACGGACCAAGGAGUUUAACAUGUGCGCGAGUCAAUGAGUAGUGCUUCUCCGGUACGAAACUCAAAGGCGCAGUGAAAGUGAAGGAGGGCCUUGUGCCUUCUGAGGUGAGAUCCUGUCAUUUCUCUUGUACUUUGAUCAGACGCUAGAGUGGCGGGCGCAUCACCGGCCCGUCCCAUGGUGUAGUAGG